rnacentral:rRNA from 1 species
AACGAACGCUGGCGGCAUGCCUAACACAUGCAAGUCGAACGAGACCUUCGGGUCUAGCGGCGCACGGGUGCGUAACGCGUGGGAACCUGCACUUAGGUUCGGAAUAACUCCCCGAAAGGGGUGCUAAUACCGGAUAUUGUCUUCGGACCAACGAUUUAUCGCCUUUGGAUGGGCCGGCGUUGGCUUAGCUAGUUGGUAGGGUAAAGGCCUACCAAGGCGACGAUCCAUAGCUGGUCUGAGAGGAUGAUCAGCCACACUGGGACGGAGACACGGCCCAGACUCCUACGGGAGGCAGCAGUGGGGAAUAUUGGACAAUGGGCGAAAGCCUGAUCCAGCAAUGCCGCGUGAGUGAUGAAGGCCUUAGGGUUGUAAAGCUCUUUUACCCGGGAUGAUAAUGACAGUACCGGGAGAAUAAGCUCCGGCUAACUCCGUG